CCAGAUGUUUCAGGCUUUGGAUGUUUUGGACUGCUCCCAGCCCCAGCUGCAUGGGCCACGAUCAGGAAUGCUGGGGGUUGUAGUCUAGGACAUCUGCAGUGGAUCAGGGCGGGGAAGGCUGCGCUGGGCACACCAGCGCUGAAGAACUCUAGUAAAACAACUGGAAACCUCCGUCGGCCUCUUCUUUUCCUCUGCACAUGCUUUAGGUGAUCAUUAUGGCAACAUCAGAUCUUCUGGCAGUGAGGGUGGGGCUGCAGAGCCCAGAGUUCUGCAGUGACCAUGGUCUUUGCUGCAUGUACCCCUAACAGGCCUUGUGACCGGAACCACGGCUGGGUCAAGCGCUUGGCAGUCAUGGCUGGUGGGACUGACAGCUGUGGUAGUUUUCCUGUGCUUGAUGUUCGUGGCAUUGCUCAUCAACAGGCUGUUUUUCUCUAGCAAAUCAUCUGAUACAGAGUCAAGCGGGAAAAACAAUGAACUCAGAGCAGUCGCCAAUAUUUAUGACAACAUGGCAAUGGAGGAAGAUGAGGGACCUUCCACCCAAAGGGCAGAGGAAGAGAAUAAGCAGACCAGCAUGUGAGCAGAGUGACCAUGAGGGACAAAGUUUGGGAGGGGGAAGGAGGUUGGAAACCAUCUGCAUUCCUGCAACUUGAACAGCCACUUAAAGCUGGCAGUUGUCUCCAAGGUCAUUCAAGGACAUCACAACUCCUCUUCUAAGGUUUAAAUGUACAUCUCUGCCAAUGCACAUGCAGUGGACUGACGAUCUAAAAAUACGCUCCCAAAACAUGAUUUUCACAUGAAAAAUGCAUCUCUUAGAUGGCAGGUGUGCUUUUCAAUCAGAUUGCUUGAAGGGGAGAGAGAUUCUUGGGAUAUUUCUUCUAUCAAUUGCAUCAGAAUCAGCAAACUGUGAUUAUAGCUCAGGGGACCUGGGUUUCUAAAUGGAUCUGAGCCCCAAUACCGUUUUUCAUUCGUAUUUUAUUGACUAGUAGCUCUGUAAGCUAAAACACACCAUGACGCCAGCCAGAUUGUGAAUGGUAGACCAGGAGUCGGGAAAUCUGGGUUCUAGUCCACACCUGGCCAUGCAGCUUGCCGAGUGACUUCGUGCCGGCCACUCUCAGCCUAGGCUACCUCACAGGGUUGUUGUUAGGCUCAAACAGAGAGGUUGGGUACCUUUUAAGUUACUUUGUAUUCCUUGCAAGAGGAGAAAAGGUGUUGAGCCACCUUUACUAAGCUGAAAAGGCACGGGCUUGCAGCUGAAUGGAUGAUUAUUGUAUAUAUUUUACUGUUAUAUUAUGUUUUAAGGUUGUUCUCUACACGUUCACCACCUAGAGCCCUGCAUGGCUUAAGGGCAGAAUAAAAAUGUAAUAAACAAAUAAAUAAAUAACGCACGCA